rnacentral:rRNA from 1 species
GGGAACGUACCCUUCGGUUCGGAAUAACUCAGGGAAACUUGAGCUAAUACCGGAUACGCCCUUUUGGGGAAAGGUUUACUGCCGAAGGAUCGGCCCGCGUCUGAUUAGCUUGUUGGUGGGGUAACGGCCUACCAAGGCGACGAUCAGUAGCUGGUCUGAGAGGAUGAUCAGCCACACCGGGACUGAGACACGGCCCAGACUCCUACGGGAGGCAGCAGUGGGGAAUAUUGGACAAUGGGCGCAAGCCUGAUCCAGCCAUGCCGCGUGAGUGAUGAAGGCCUUAGGGUUGUAAAGCUCUUUUGUCCGGGACGAUAAUGACGGUACCGGAAGAAUAAGCCCCGGCUAACUUCGUGCCAGCAGCCGCGGUAAUACGAAGGGGGCUAGCGUUGCUCGGAAUCACUGGGCGUAAAGGGCGCGUAGGCGGCCGAUUAAGUCGGGGGUGAAAGCCUGUGGCUCAACCACAGAAUUGCCUUCGAUACUGGUUGGCUUGAGACCGGAAGAGGACAGCGGAACUGCGAGU